GAUGAACGCUAGCUACAGGCUUAACACAUGCAAGUCGAGGGGAAACGAUAUUGGAAGCUUGCUUCCGAUAGGCGUCGACCGGCGCACGGGUGAGUAACGCGUAUCCAACCUGCCCACCACUUGGGGAUAACCUUGCGAAAGUAAGACUAAUACCCAAUGACGUCUCUAGAAGACAUCUGAAAGAGAUUAAAGAUUUAUCGGUGAUGGAUGGGGAUGCGUCUGAUUAGCUUGUUGGCGGGGUAACGGCCCACCAAGGCGACGAUCAGUAGGGGUUCCGAGAGGAAGGUCCCCCACAUUGGAACUGAGACACGGUCCAAACUCCUACGGGAGGCAGCAGUGAGGAAUAUUGGUCAAUGGGCGAGAGCCUGAACCAGCCAAGUAGCGUGCAGGAUGACGGCCCUAUGGGUUGUAAACUGCUUUUAUAAGGGAAUAAAGUGAGUCUCGUGAGGCUUUUUGCAUGUACCUUAUGAAUAAGGACCGGCUAAUUCCGUGCCAGCAGCCGCCGUAA
rnacentral:rRNA from 1 species